rnacentral:rRNA from 1 species
AGGGUUCGAUUCUGGCUCAGGAUGAACGCUAGCGACAGGCUUAACACAUGCAAGUCGAGGGGCAGCACGGGAGUAGCAAUACUUGGUGGCGACCGGCGCACGGGUGAGUAACGCGUAUGCAACCUACCUAUCAGGAGGGGAAUAACCCGGCGAAAGUCGGACUAAUACCGCAUAAAACAGGGGCACCGCAUGGUGAUAUUUGUUAAAGAAAUUCGCUGAUAGAUGGGCAUGCGUUCCAUUAGGUAGUUGGUGAGGUAACGGCUCACCAAGCCGACGAUGGAUAGGGGAACUGAGAGGUUGGUCCCCCACACUGGUACUGAGACACGGACCAGACUCCUACGGGAGGCAGCAGUGAGGAAUAUUGGUCAAUGGGCGGGAGCCUGAACCAGCCAAGUCGCGUGAAGGAAGAAGGAUCUAUGGUUCGUAAACUUCUUUUGCAGGGGAAUAAAGUGCAGGACGUGUCCUGUUUUGUAUGUACCCUGAGAAUAAGGAUCGGCUAACUCCGUGCCAGCCGCAGC